GGGAGAUGCUCUAGAUUAGGGACAUAAAUAGGAGGUCUAUAGCAUGUUGAUGGUGUUUAAAGCCUUGGGACCACAUAAGGCCACCCAGAAGAGGGAGCAUAAGGAAAGGAAAGAGAAGAGAACAGAGGCUAUUCAAGAGCUAAGGUCUAGGCCAUUCCAAUUUUACAGGUUGUGAAAAGUGAAAAAGAAAAUCUAAAAAAGACAAAUGGAGAAGGAACAGCUAGUGAAGUCAGAGGAAGAUUGGAAGACCCUGGUGUCCUGGAAGCAACUGAAGAAAGUGUUUCAAGAAGAAAGGAGUGAUCACAUGACUUAAAAUGCCACCGAUGGGUCAAAUAAGAACAGAGAAUUGACCAUGGAAUCUGUCAACACAGAAGUCAUCAGUGGCCUUGAUAAAUGUAGUUUCACUGCCAUGGUAAGGAUGAAAGGCUGAUUGGAGCCUGUGACGGAGACUAGGAGGUGAGGAAAUAGAAACAGUAGUUUUGCUCUGAAUGGUUAGCAAAUGGUGAAGCAACUGGAGGGAAUGUGGGGUCAAGGAUAUUUUUUAAAGCUGAGAGUUAUUAUAUCCUAUCAGUAUGCUGAUGGGAAUGAUCCAGUUGAGAUGGAAAAUUUGAUGCUGCAGAUGAGAGAGUGGAUAAUUGCUGGAGUGAUGCUUUUUAACAAGCAAGAGAAGAAGGGAUCCAGUGUGCGAGAGGAGGGGCUGGCCUCAGACAGACACAUGGACGAUUCAUUCAUCAUGAGAGGAGGAAAGUGGGGGAAAAAUGAUGUCAUCAGCUGAAAGUGAGAAGCAAGGAGAACUGCGUGCAGGCCUGAAAAGAAAGGAGGCGUGAUGCAGUCAUCUGCCAGAGGGAGUAGGAGAGGCGACUUGCCUGGGGAAAACAGUGUAGGAUUGCUGGGCAGCAAUAUGGCAGCAAUGUGGUCCUCUGAGGUCAGUGGUGAUGAAUUUAAAGGGAAACCUUUCAGUACAGCUCUGUGUUUUUCUCCAGCCACCUUUAACACCUGGAGUGCAGGCAUUAAAUAGCUAAAAGUCACAUUUGACAAGUGUUGAUUUUGCUAGGCCUAUAGGUUGGGAGAGAGAAGGUCAGAAUGGUUGUCAUUGUUAUCUAUUGCUGUGAAACACAUGACUCCAACACAAUUACUCCCAAACAACAAAUAUUUAUUACCUCAUAGUUUCUGUGGGUCACAGUUUGGAAUUUGGAAGCAGCUCAGGCUGGGCAGUUCUGGCUUGGGGUCUUUCACGAGGCUGCAGUCAAAUGUUACCUCAGGUUACAGUCAUCUAAAAGCUUGUAUAGGGCUGGAGGAUCUGCUUCCAGGGUGGUGCACUCACAUGGCUGGCAAGUCAGUAGUGGUGGUUGGUGGACAACUCAGUUCCUCUACAGGCUGUCAGAGUGUACUUACAGCCUGACAACCAGCUUCUCCCAGAGCUACCAGUCCAAGAGGGAGACCUAAUCAGAAGCUAUCCUUCUUUGACCUAUGCUCAGAAGUGACAUUGCGUUCCUU
rnacentral:lncRNA from 10 species